UACGUAGGGUGCGAGCGUUAAUCGGAAUUACUGGGCGUAAAGCGUGCGCAGGCGGUUCGCCAAGUCAGGUGUGAAAUCCCCGGGCUUAACCUGGGAAUUGCGCUUGAAACUAGCGGGCUUGAGUGCGGCAGAGGGGGGCGGAAUUCCACGUGUAGCAGUGAAAUGCGUAGAGAUGUGGAGGAACACCGAUGGCGAAGGCAGCCCCCUGGGUCGACACUGACGCUCAUGCACGAAAGCGUGGGGAGCAAACAGG
rnacentral:rRNA from 1 species